rnacentral:lncRNA from 1 species
AUUUGCCUGCAAAAGUCAGGAUGUCUUCACUCUUUUUUUUUUUUUUUUUUAGAAACAGCAACAAAAUUCUUUAUGUCAAUUGUCAGAAUUGUGUGAAAGAAACACUAAACUAUGCAUAAUGAAGUAAAGAAUUUGCUUAUGUAGAAGCUUGAGAAUUAUUACUGUAAUAUUUACUCUGUUCUUUUUUUUUUCUCUUUUUUUUUUUAUUACGUAUUUUCCUCAAUUACAUUUCCAAUGCUAUCCCAAAAGCCUCCCACACCCUCCCCCACCACCACUCCCCUACCCACCCAUUCCCAUUUUUUGGCCCUGGCAUUCCCCUGUACUGGGGCAUAUAAAGUUUGCCUGUCCAGUGGGCCUCUCUUUCCAGUGAUGGCCGACUAGGCCAUCUUUUGAUACAUAUGCAGCUAGAGACAAGAGCUCCGGGGUACUGGUUAGUUCAUAAUGUUGCACCUACAGGGUUGCAGAUCUCUUUAGCUCCUUGGAUACUUUCUCUAGCUCCUCCAUUGGGGACCCUGUGAUCCAUCCAAUAGUUGACUGUGAGCAUCCACUUCUAUGUUUGUUAGGCCCUGGCCUAGUCUCACAAGAGACGGCUAUAUCACGGACCUUGCAACAAACGCUUGCUAGUGUAUGCAAUGGUGUCAUCGUUUGGAGGCUAAUUAUGGGAUGGAUCCCUGGAUAUGGCAGUCUCUUGAUGGUCCAUCCUUUUGUCUCAGCUCCAAACUUUGUCUCUGUAACUCCUUCCAUGGGUGAUUGUUUCCAAUUUUAGGAAGGGACUCCAUUGUGUAAAUAACCACAUUUUCUGUAUCCAUUCUUCUGACAUGGGACAUCUAGGUUGUUUCCAGCUUCUGGCUAUCACAAAUAGGGUAGCUAUGAACUUAGUGAACAUAUGCCCCUGUGGCAUGGUGGGGCAUCUUUUGGGUAUAUUCCCAAGAGUGGUAUAGCUGGGUCUUCAGGUCUCCGAAAGACCCAACAAGCAGCUGAAAGAGUCAGAUGCAGUUAUUUGCACCCAAUCAAUGGACAGAAGCAGCUGACCCCUGUUGUUGAAUUAGGGAAGGCUGAAAGAAGCUGAGGAGAAGGGAGAUUCUGUAGGAGGACCAGCAGUCUUAGUUAAUCUGGAUCCCUGAGAUCUCUCAAACACUUGACCACCAAACAGACAGCAUACACCAGCUGAUAUGAGGCCCCCAACACACAUAUGGUAGAGGACUUCAGGUCUGUGUUCAUUCAGAGAUAAUGCACCUAACCCUCUAGAGACUGGAGGCCCCAGGGAGUUUAGAGGUCUGGUGGGGUGGGGGUGGGGGGAGCAUCCUCGUGGAGACAGGGUGGGGUGGGGAGGAGCUGUGGGGUUUGCAGCAGUCAGAGGGUGGAUGGGGAGGGGCAGGGGAUGGAAUAUGGAGUGUAAAAAAUGAAUUAAAAAUAAAAUUAAAGAACAAAAAAUAACCCUGCCUUUUUGUAUUUUCACUCAAAACUCCAGCAGGAUAACUAUUCUUUGUACUCUUCCAGAGGUCUGGAUCAGUAAAUACUUAGGAUAAAUACACCUUUGUGUUGCUGUAGGGAGAUAGCUCAGUUUGUAAAGUGCUUGCUAUUCAAGCAUGAAGACCGAAGACUUUAGGACCUGGGGAAAAUGUUAGCAUGUCCUUGUAAUUCUGAUGCUGAGGAGGUAGGGACAGGAGACUUGGGGGCUCUGGGACUGCUCAGCCUGUAGAAGGCAAUCUCAAAGUAAGGUGGGCAGCCCAUGAGGAAUAGGAGGAACACCUGAAGGUGACUUGUGACUCAUAUAUUUAUACUUAGACACAGACACACAGGCUCGCUCACUCGCUCGCUCUCUCUUUCUGUCUCUGUCUCUGUCUCUCUCUCUCUCACACACACACACACACACACACACACACACACAGAGAGAGUGCCUUUUGAGGUACAAAAAAGUUUUCCUUGUGCUAGUGUGUUCAAUGAAAUUAGCUUUGCAUUCUUGUGGAUACUGUGUAGAAUCUCAAUUAAAUGGCCUAUUUAGAGCAUAGGGGAUCUUAUUGUGCUUGGUAGGGAUUGGUCAUAGUGACAGUCAUUGCUGGUAUUCAUUGAUUAUUUCUUGCUGCUGUCUGCUGUUAGCAGUUUUCAUUUGUAUGAUGCCAUUAGUCUGUACUGUUGCCUCUUCUUAACACAUGGGAAAAUGGCUUUCAUUAGGUUAGACAACUGGUCCAAUGUUACAUUUAUAUUAGGCACACUUUUCGAAACCUAUCUGACUCUAAAACCUAUUCUUUUUCACUUUUUACCUUCUUAGACUCUUACUUAUUUUAAUAAUAGUAGCAGUAACAAUGACAGGUUGUGCUUACACAGCACUUAUUCUAUACCAAAUACUAUUUUAAGCUUUUUAUGUACAUUGACAUGUUUAAUUCUCACCUUAACUGUAUAAAGUGGGCAUCGUUAUUACCCUCUACUGGGAAGGUCAGAGAGAUUAUAACUUGCUCAGAGUCAAUUACUUACAGCUAUAAGUAGUGGGACCAGGAUUCUAACAAUGGCAGGGUUAUUACUAGAGCAGAUGAGAAUAUUUAUAUUUGUCUUACGUGCUUGCUGCAGUUUUUCAAAAGGCUUUAAACUU